rnacentral:rRNA from 1 species
CUGGCGGCGUGCCUAAUACAUGCAAGUCGAACGGUCUUUCUAUGGAAGCUUGCUUCCACUGAGAAGAUAGUGGCGAACGGGUGAGUAACACGUGGGUAACCUGCCCAUAAGAGGGGGGAUAACAUCCGGAAACGGGUGCUAAUACCGCAUAGUUUUCUUGAUCGCAUGAUUGAGAAAGGAAAGAUGGCCUUUGUGCUGUCGCUUAUGGAUGGACCCGCGGCGUAUUAGUUAGUUGGUGAGGUAACGGCUCACCAAGACGAUGAUACGUAGCCGACCUGAGAGGGUGAUCGGCCACAUUGGGACUGAGACACGGCCCAAACUCCUACGGGAGGCAGCAGUAGGGAAUUUUCGGCAAUGGGGGAAACCCUGACCGAGCAAACCGCCGCGUGAACGACGAAGUACUUCGGUAUGUAAAGUUCUUUUAAGAGGGAAGAAUGGCCCGUGGAAAAGCGGGCGUGACGGUACCUUUUGAAUAAGCCCCGGCUAACUAUGUGCCAGCAGCUGC